rnacentral:sRNA from 1 species
GGCCGUGGAGGCGCUGGCUUCCCCACUGGCCUCAAGUGGAGCUUCAUGAAUAAGCCCUCAGAUGGCAGGCCCAAGUAUCUGGUGGUGAACGCAGACGAGGGGGAGCCGGGCACCUGCAAGGACCGGGAGAUCAUACGCCAUGAUCCUCACAAGCUGGUGGAAGGCUGCCUGGUGGGGGGCCGGGCAAUGGGCGCCCGUGCUGCCUAUAUCUACAUCCGAGGGGAGUUCUACAAUGAGGCCUCCAAUCUGCAGGUGGCCAUCCGAGAGGCCUAUGAGGCAGGUCUGAUUGGCAAGAAUGCCUGUGGCUCUGGCUAUGAUUUUGACGUGUUUGUGGUGCGCGGGGCUGGGGCCUACAUCUGUGGAGAGGAGACAGCGCUCAUCGAGUCCAUCGAGGGCAAGCAGGGCAAGCCCCGCCUGAAGCCCCCCUUCCCCGCAGACGUGGGAGUGUUUGGCUGCCCCACAACUGUGGCCAACGUGGAGACAGUGGCAGUGUCCCCCACAAUCUGCCGCCGUGGGGGUACCUGGUUUGCUGGCUUUGGCAGAGAACGCAACUCAGGCACCAAACUAUUCAACAUCUCUGGCCAUGUCAACUACCCUUGCACUGUGGAGGAGGAGAUGUCUGUGCCCUUGAAAGAACUGAUUGAGAAGCAUGCUGGCACAGACAGGCCUGGGCACAGCCGCGGUGAUCGUCAUGGACCGCUCGACCGACAUCGUGAAAGCCAUCGCCCGCCUCAUUGAGUUCUAUAAGCACGAGAGCUGUGGCCAGUGUACCCC